UGCGUAGGCGGCGAUGCAAGUCAGAAGUGGAAGUCCUGUUUUCAAGGCAGGAAUUGCUUUUGAAACUGCAUGGCUUGAGUGCAGGAGAGGUUAUCGGAAUUCCCGGUGUAGCGGUGAAAUGCGUAGAGAUCGGGAGGAACACCAGUGGCGAAGGCGGGUAACUGGACUGCAACUGACGCUGAGGCACGAAAGUGUGGGGAGCAAACA
rnacentral:rRNA from 1 species